AAUCUUGCGCAAUGGCCUAACGGCUGACGCAGCGACGCCGCGUGUGGGAUGAAGCUCCUCGGAGUGUAAACCACUGUUGCCCGGGACGAAUAGCUCGAUUAAUCGAGCCUGACGGUACCGGGUGAGGAAGCACCGGCUAACUCCGUGCCAGCAGCCGCGGUAAUACGGGGGGUGCGAGCGUUGUCCGGAAUCACUGGGCGUAAAGGGCGCGUAGGUGGUUUGAUAAGGGUGUGGUGAAAGUCCGGGGCUCAACCCCGGAUCUGCCGUGCCGACUGUCAAACUCGAGGACUGUAGAGGCAGACGGAAUUCCGGGUGUAGCGGUGGAAUGCGUAGAGAUCCGGAGGAAGACCGGUGGCGAAGGCGGUCUGCUGGGCAGUUUCUGACACUGAGGCGCGACAGCGUGGGGAGCAA
rnacentral:rRNA from 1 species